rnacentral:rRNA from 1 species
UAGUCCACGCCGUAAACGAUGUCUACUAGCCGUUGGGAGACUUGAUUUCUUAGUGGCGCAGCUAACGCACUAAGUAGACCGCCUGGGGAGUACGGCCGCAAGGUUAAAACUCAAACGAAUUGACGGGGACCCGCACAAGCGGUGGAUGAUGUGGAUUAAUUCGAUGCAACGCGAAAAACCUUACCUACACUUGACAUGUCGAGAACUUUCCAGAGAUGGAUUGGUGCCCGAAAGGGAAUUCGAACACAGGUGCUGCAUGGCUGUCGUCAGCUCGUGUCGUGAGAUGUUGGGUUAAGUCCCGCAACGAGCGCAACCCUUAUCCUUAGUUGCUACGCAAGGGCACUCUAAGGAGACUGCCGGUGACAAACCGGAGGAAGGUGGGGAUGACGUCAAGUCCUCAUGGCCCUUAUGUGUAGGGCUUCACACGUCAUACAAUGGUCGGUACAGAGGGUUGCCAAGCCGCGAGGUGGAGCUAAUCCCAGAAAACCGAUCGUAGUCCGGAUUGCAGUCUGC